CUGAGCCUACGGGGCGCAGCAGUGAGGAAUAUUGGUCAAUGGGCGGGAGCCUGAACCAGCCACGUCGCGUGAGGGAAGACGGUCCUAUGGAUUGUAAACCUCUUUAGGCGGGGAGCAAUGCCGGGCACGCGUGCCCGGAGGGAGAGUACCCGCAGAAUAAGCAUCGGCUAACUCCGUGCCAGCAGCCGCGGUAAUACGGAGGAUGCGAGCGUUAUCCGGCUUUAUUGGGUUUAAAGGGUGCGUAGGCGGAUUUUUAAGUCAGCGGUAGAAUGUACGGGCUCAACCCGGGCCGGCCGGUGAACAUG
rnacentral:rRNA from 1 species